rnacentral:rRNA from 1 species
CCUACGGGUGGCAGCAGUGGGGGAUAUUGCACAAUGGGGGAAACCCUGAUGCAGCGACGCCGCGUGGGCGAAGAAGUAUUUCGGUAUGUAAAGCCCUAUCAGCAGGGAAGAAGAAAUGACGGUACCUGAGUAAGAAGCACCGGCUAAAUACGUGCCAGCAGCCGCGGUAAUACGGAGGGUGUGAGCGUUAAUCGGAAUUACUGGGUGUAAAGCGCUUGUAGGCGGUAUGUCAAGUCAAGGGUGAAAUCCCCGCGCUCAACGUGGGAACUGCCUUUGAAACUGGCAAACUGGAGUGUGUGAGAGGAUAGUGGAAUUCCUGGUGUAGGAGUGAAAUGCGUAGAUAUCAGGAGGAACAUCAGUGGCGAAGGCGGAUUGCUGGCACAUAACUGACGCUGAGGAGCGAAAGCGUGGGUAGCAAACAGGAUUAGAUACCCUUGUAGUC